UACAGAGACUGCAAGCGUUAUUCGGAUUCACUGGGCGUAAAGGGUGCGCAGGCGGCCAAGUGUGUGAGCGUGAAAGCCCGGGGCUUAACUCCGGAAUUGCACCUCAAACUACAUGGCUAGAGCAUUGGAGAGGGUAGCAGAAUUCACGGUGUAGCAGUGAAAUGCGUAGAUAUCGUGAGGAAUACCAGAGGCGAAGGCGGCUACCUGGACAAUUGCUGACGCUCAGGCACGAAAGCGUGGGGAGCAAACAGG
rnacentral:rRNA from 1 species